UGGUUCUCUGCUAUAAUCCGGAUCAUCAGAUGGCUCUUUCGAUGUAACAUUUGGGAUCUUGAUGAUUCGCUGUUGGUUGUUUGACGUGCGAGUGAUUGAUAGUGUUCUUGUGUUCGGUGGUGACAUCUUUAGGGGUUGGGUUUGAUUCCUCUUUUGCUGAUUGAUGAUCUUUUGUGGAUUGAAUCAUUUGGUUUUUUGUGCACAAUCGCUUCUGAGUUGAGUGUUGGGGAAGCUCUCUUCUUCCGCCAUCUCUUUUUGCUGGUUGUGACUUAGGACGGUUUUCUCGUCCUUUUAUGUCUCCUAACUUGGACAGUCCUGUUCAGACCCAGAUGGCUGUGGCACUAUUCAAGAGUCCUCUUGGUGGUGGAGAGUACCAUGGAAACAGUAGGAUGGAAGGGAAAUCUACUGGGAGGAGACGUGUUUUUGUGCAAACUGACACUGGUUGUGUACUGGGGAUGGAGUUGGACCGUAGUGACAAUGCUCAUACUUUGAAGAGGAGGUUGCAGAUUGCCCUCAAUGUUCCAACUGAGGAGAGUUCUUUGACAUUUGGUGAUGUGGUGUUGAAGAACGACCUUAGUUCUGUUCGGAAUGAUUCUCCUCUACUGCUGACGAGGAAUUUUAUGCAUAGAAGUUCAUCGACUCCGUGUCUUUCACCUACUGGGAGGGAUGUGCAUCAGAGAGAUCAGAGUGGCCCUAUUGAAAUACUGGGGAACUCUUGUGUCUUUGCCAAGACAAGGCUACUUGUCAAGGAGAUUGUGAAGGCUAUCAAGAAUGGAGUUGAGCCACUUCCCGUCCAUAGUGGACUUGGAGGGGGGUACUUCUUUAGAAACAGCAGAGGUGAGAGUGUUGCUGUUGUCAAGCCAACAGAUGAAGAACCAUUUGCCCCAAACAAUCCUAAAGGCUUUGUUGGCAAAGCUCUUGGACAGCCAGGCCUGAAGCGUUCAGUUCGAGUUGGAGAAACAGGGUUUAGGGAGGUUGCUGCAUAUCUUCUAGACUAUGAUCAUUUUGCUAAUGUGCCAGCCACUGCAUUGGUGAAAAUCACUCAUUCUAUUUUUAAUGUCAAUGAUGGUGUUAAUGGAAACAAGCCUCAUAGCAAGAAGAAACUCGUCAGCAAGAUUGCAUCUUUUCAACAAUUCAUUCCUCAUGAUUUUGAUGCCAGCGACCAUGGAACCUCAAGUUUCCCCGUUGCUGCUGUUCAUCGGAUUGGGAUAUUAGACAUCAGGAUUUUUAACACAGAUAGGCAUGCAGGAAAUCUUUUAGUUAGGAAGCUUGAUGGUGUUGGGAGGUUUGGUCAAGUAGAGUUAAUUCCCAUUGAUCAUGGCCUCUGUCUACCAGAAACGUUGGAAGACCCAUAUUUUGAGUGGAUUCAUUGGCCUCAGGCAUCUAUUCCUUUUUCAGAGGAUGAACUGGAGUACAUAGAGAAACUCGAUCCUGUUAGUGACUCUGAGAUGCUGAAAACUGAGCUCCCUAUGAUUCGCGAAGCUUGCCUUCGUGUCUUGGUCCUGUCCACCAUUUUCGAUCCUGUUCGUGACUCUGAGAUGCUGAAAAGUGAGCUCCCUAUGAUUCGCGAAGCUUGCCUUCGUGUCUUGGUCCUGUCCACCAUUUUCCUCAAGGAAGCUGCUGCUUAUGGGCUCUGCCUUGCAGAGAUUGGUGAGAUGAUGAGCAGGGAGUUUCGUCAUGGGGAGGAGGAACCCAGCGAGCUUGAAGUAGUUUGUUUGGAGGCAAGAAGGAUGAUUGCUGAGAGAGAGAUUUUAUCUCCAAAGGCUGAAGUUGAUGAGGAGGAGUUCCAAUUUGACAUAGAUUACGAGGAUGCAGGGUAUGCUUUUAGUCCAAAUAUGGCCUCUGAAAACUUCAUGACCAGGAACCCAUUUCAGUUUCCAAUUGGAGGAGGAAAUGGCCGCACUGCUUUUAGUCCAAAUAUGGCCUCUGAAGACUUCAUGAACAGGAACCCAUUUCAGUUUCCAUUUGGAGGAGGAAAUGGCCGCACUCAACUCUUUAAGCUAGACGAAAGCAUUGAGGAAGAAGAGAGUGAAGAGGAGGAAACAAGCUUUAACUAUGUUCCUCCCCCCGCAAAGAAUGUGUCUGAGUCAAAAGUAUCAAUGUCCCUCAAGAAUAUUAGUUUAGGUGACAAGAAGCAGAAGCAUCCUAAUUUUUCAGGAACAAAGCCUGAAAAUGGCGAUCUAGCUAGAGCAUCGUCCGGCCACAGGAGCGCGAAUGAGCAGCUCCCUGUGAGUUCCAGCUUUUUGAAGCUAGCAGAUAUGAAUGAGGAAGAAUGGCGUCUGUUUCUAGAGAAGUUCCAAGAACUGCUGUACCCAGCUUUCGACAAGGGCAAAUCAGUCACUGUUGGUCAGAGGCAGAUACAAAGGCUUGGGACUUCUUGCCAGUUUUGAGAUCAAGGUACUACGAUAUCUCACUACUAGGAUGAGUUAAUACCUAAAUAACUCCCUGCAGGCUGCUUGAAGUGAAGGAUUUCUAGCUUAGGUUUGUUUUAUGGAUAUGCUCCCUUAAAGAAGUUAUAUAGGGCGGCAGUAGCUUUGAUAGGAGAUGCUGUAAAUAUUUUUGGAGGCACCUGAGUGAAAGUGCUGAGUAGAAUUGGUGUUGUUUCCGUUUGAUGUCUUCAUUUUAUUUCCCUUUUACUUUGUCACGGCGACUGUUAGAUAAAUAAUUUGUAGAAUGAAAUCUGAAAAAAGAUAAAAAAAAAAAAGUUAUGUAAAUGUUGGAUUUGUUCUUUUUAUGUUUUGUGUUUGCUCUUGUAUUUUAUGGAGUGAGUUUUUCUGUCAAACGUUAUAUUACCCUUUUUACCAGUUUUUGUAUAAAUUGUCAUUUAGCGUUCUUUUCUCA
rnacentral:lncRNA from 1 species